UACGUAGGGUGCAAGCGUUAAUCGGAAUUACUGGGCGUAAAGCGCGUGUAGGCGGCCCGUUAAGUGGGGUGUGAAAGCCCGGGGCUCAACCCCGGGACGCCGCUUCAAACUGGCGGGCUUGAGGACGGAAGAGGGGAGUGGAAUUCCUGGUGUAGCGGUGAAAUGCGUAGAGAUCAGGAGGAACACCCGUGGCGAAGGCGGCUCCCUGGUCCGUCCCUGACGCUGAGACGCGAAAGCGCGGGGAGCGAACGGG
rnacentral:rRNA from 1 species